GCCCGCCCACCUACCUCCCCGCCGCUCCAGAGGGGGCUCGCAGAGCUGAGGACGCGCGCAGCGCUGCUCAAGGUCUCUCUCUCUCAGCACCCUCGCCGGCCGGCGUCUGACGCGGGUGCCAGGGUCUCCGGGCACCUUUCAGUGUCCAUUCCCUCAGCCAGCCAGGACUCCGCAACCCAGCAGUUGCCGCUGCGGCCACAGCCCGAGGGGACCUGCGGACAGGACGCCGGCAGGAGGAGGGGUGCGCAGCGCCCGCGCAGAGCGUCUCCCUCGCUACGCAGCGAGACCCGGGCCUCCCGGCCCCAGGAGCCCCCAGCUGCCUCGCCAGGUGUGUGGGACUGAAGUUCUUGGAGAAGGGAGUCCAACUCUUCAAGGUAACU
rnacentral:lncRNA from 1 species